rnacentral:misc_RNA from 1 species
AACGCACAUUGCGCCCAUUAGUAUUCUAGUGGGCAUGCCUGUUCGAGCGUCAUUUCAACCCUCGGGCCCGUACGGGUCUGGUGUUGGGGCCUUUGCCGCGAGGCAAGCCCUGAAAGCAAGCGGCGGGCUCGCUGUGACCCCGAGCGUAGUAAUUUUACAUCUCGUUUAGGGCGUCUGGCGGGCGGCACCAGCCGUAAAAGCGCUGUAUGCACUGAAAAGUUGACCUCGGAUCAGGUAGGAAUACCCGCUGAACUUAA